rnacentral:rRNA from 1 species
AUGAGGUCUCGGUGGAUUGCCAUUGGACUGUUCUUCUCUGUGCAGCUGUUCAGCGUCAGCGGGCUCUUCCAGGAGUUGAAGAACAAGUGGGGCCUGAGAGGUUGCCUCAACUACUCACCGCUCAAGAAUAACAGGUUCCUCAUGGAAUUCGAGCGUGAGGGGGAUCUCCGCUUCAUCCUCAACAAUGGACCCUGGACUCACCGGGGGGAUCCAUUCCUGAUGGUGAGGGUGGAUGGCAGUGCAAGGCCAGGCGACGUGGAGGUGGCUCAUAUGCCAAUUUGGGCUCGCAUCUUUGAUGCUCCACCCAUCAUGUUCUUCGAGUCGGUGGCACGCAAAUUGGGUGAGCAGCUAGGUGAGGUGAUCGAGGUGGAUGCAGACAGAGAUGGUAGGAUCUGGGGUGAGUCAAUCCGCAUAAGGAUCAAGCAAGAUGUAGAUGAGCCUCUACGCACCAAAUUAGAAUUCCAUGAUUAUGCUGUAGACGAAGUGUACCGCCUCAAUGUCAAAUAUGAGAGGCUCCCUAGAUUAUGUAGUUUCUGUGGUCUAUUAGGGCAUGGGCAACGCGAAUGUAAGCUGCCCGCAGAACUCCAGAAGAUGAGUUUCUCGGCGGCAUUGCGUGCCUCCCCUUUUAAAAUAAGCAGUACGAGAGGAGGUUUUGUAGUGCCAGAAUGGGCCAGCACCAGGCGGUUCCUUCACUUUGGUUCAGAGGAGGCUGGCGAAGCAAAGUCAGCACCCUCGGCGCUAGCUACGGACAAGUAUGGAGGUACGCAUGAGGAAAUCUUGGCCAACCCAUUGGUGCAAGCUGCUAUUGAAGCAGUGGGAGCAAUCUAG